CAGCUUUCUGAAAUGGUGUCCCACCACAAGGACUGGAGAAGGGGAAAAGAGAAGGUUUUGUCCCUUCAAUUUCCGCAAAUGAGAAGCAACUAUCACCCACCAAAAUGCUAUACCAAUGGAGCAUUCCCCCAAAGACACAAAGCAAAUUUGAGCGAUUUUCUUAUUUGAGUUCAAAAUGGGCUGUAAAGCGGUGGAGACAACUCGCAACAUCAACAAUCCAUUUGGCCCAGGAACUGCUAAGGAAUGUACAGUGGAGUGGUGGUUCAAGAAGUCUGGCAAAGGAGAUGAGAGCCUUGAAGAUGAGGAGUGUAGUGGCUGACCACUGGAAAUUGACAACAACCAAUUAAGAGCGGUCAUCGAAGCUGAUCCUCUUACAAUGACACAAGAAGUUGCCAAAGAACUCAGUGUUGACCGUUCUUUGGUCAUUCAGCAUUUGAAGCAAAUUGGGAAGGUGAAAAAGCUUGGUAAGUGGGUGCCUCAUGAGCUGAGCGAAAAUUUUUAAAAAAUCAUUGUUUUGAAGUGCUGUCUUCUCUUAUUCUACGUGACAACAAUGAACCAUUUCUCUAUCAGAUAGUGAUGUGCAAGGAAAAGUGGAUUUUAUAUGACAAUUGGUGAUGACCAGCUCAGUGG
rnacentral:lncRNA from 1 species